AUAAUGUUAACCACAUGUUAAAUCCAAUACUGGAUGGGCGGAUAAGGCAAAUGCUUUUCAUUUCUAAAUUAUAUCAGUUUAGGUAAUAAAGACUAGAGACAACUGAACAAAAACAAAAGAAAUGGUCAACAUGAGUUUGAAUCAGACACAACAAUUAGAGAGACGCAACAUUAAGAAAUCGUAAAGAUGUUGAUCACAAUUGUUGUGUUAUUCGUUCUCUGCUGGCUUCCACUUCAUACCUUUUUUCAGGUGCUAAACUUUACAGAAAAACUGGACCACGACUCUCUUAGCCUUACCUACUUUAUAUGUCACUUGAUAGCAAUGUCUAACAGCUUUGUCAAUCCAAUCGUAUAUGGAACACUCAACGACAGUUUUAGAGCGGAUUUAAAACAACUUAUAUUCCUCGAACAAGAGCGGAAACAGCACGACACGGAGCCGUAAAACUUAAGUAUCCGGCAGAGAGAUAUAAAUUGAACUUUAACACAAAGAGACCUGCACAGAGAUUAAACUAUCAAAGUCAAAGAAGCUAUGAGGCCAAUAAUUUUGAGGACUGUUUUAAUUCAUCGUUUUCCAGAAAUGCUUCCGUGAUGAGAACAUAUGAUACCUCAUGAUAUGAAAUUUUGAUAUGUUCCUUGUGAUAUA